AUAUUUUAUUUUUGUAAAACUAUUUCUAAGAAAAAAUAAGGGGGAACGUUGUGAGACGCGGCAAAGACCGCGGUUCUACUUUAUGUCCGGUAGUCAGGCAAUAUGGCUCCUCUCCGAUAGAUGGCGCACACUGCGCAUUGAGAGUGAGAGACAGCGUUCCCAAUUUAGCUUAUUUAAGGCUAGAUCUAGCUUAUUUGAAAGCGGAACAGCUUGAAAAAUUAUGAAAAUGCUUAUAGCUUUAAAUCUAGCCUUUUUUAAUUUCACUUUGCUUAUCUUUUCCUUUUUAUAUCCUACAUGUAUUUUUUGGUAUUUUUUAAGACAAAUCGAACAAAAAGUAUAUUUGUAGUACAUAUUUUGGUGUAUCAUGGUAUUUUAGAAUUUAUUUAUGGUUUCUUUUCGUUGAAAAGUUUCGGUCUAUACAGAAACUUGGUUGGUGAUCGUGAAAUGUGUAAAUGUGUAAAACAUGCCAAAAACAGGUUACAAACAAAAUUUUCAUCGACAAGCAUCGAUUUCCUCAAAAAUAAAAUAGUACCGCCUGAUGCAAAGAUUGAUGUCUUGAAAGAUGACUUGGAUGAAUUUGCUGUGUCUUCAUAAUAUAUGGGAUAUUUAUUUGAAAAGGAAAUUAAAGAGAAAAAUUAUAAUAAUGAAGUUAACGAAAUCAGAGAGAUGUGCAAGGAUUUUAUAAAGGAGCUAAUUAUCCAACUCAGAGAAAGACUUCCAGAUAAUUUUGAGACAUUAGAAAAACUUAGAAAAUUAGAAAACACAAAAACAUUAGAAAGUUUUUGCAGCAGAAAAUGUACUCAAACAUAAUAAAAAUCAUAAUGAUCUCAUUUCCAUAUUGGAACACUUUAACUAUAAGAAUAUAGAUGGAAUUCUUGCCCAAUAUGGCAAAAUUCAAUUAGUCCCUUGGCAAAGUACAGAUGACACGAUACAAUUUUGGUCAGAAGUACUGACUUAUAAAGAUGCUGGCAAAAACAAGCCUUUUGAAGAAAUCGCUUUAUUUGCCAUUGGCAUUUUAAGUCUACCGUGGUCAAAUGCUGCUAUUGAACGUGUAUUCAGUCAAAUGAAUAUUGUUAAGACCAAGCUAAGGAACAAAAUGACCGUUAAAUCCUUAAACUCAAUAUUAAAUAUAAGAUAUGGAUUGCGCCGUCAUGGAAAAUUUUGUCACAACUAUCAAUUACCGGAGAAAUAUUUAAAUUUAAUACGUUCCAGCGAUAAAUAUACCGAUUCAAGCAAUAGCGAAUUGGAUGAAAUAAUAACACAAUUAUAAAUGUAUAUAUCUAUGUGUUGUUUUAUUUUUAGCCUGUUUUUUACAAUUUUUAGCUUGUUCUAGCUUGUAUUUUUGUAAAAUCUAGCUUAUUUUAGCGCUCAAAAUCUGGCAACACUGGUGAGAGAAUGAGUAAGCGCUUGGCUGGGGUUGCGUAUCACAGGAGACUGGUUACAAAAUUUAGUUUCUAGCUCUUAUAGUCUUUGACAUCUCAUCGGGACGGACAGACAGACAGACUGGCUAUAUCGACUCGUAUGUAUUCAUAUAGAUGCAUGCAUAUUGCCACUCAAAAUAAAUUCGAGUUGAUUAGGAGUUGAUAAUAGUCGUCACAUUGCAUAUAGAUGUAUACUUACACGUCACAAACGUACCCAUUUCCUAAUAAAUGUCACCGAAAAUACAGCAAUAGCUGACGCCACAAAUCAUUGAAGUGUUUCAAUGUACUGUGAUUACAAAUCCCCUUUACAAAAUUUGUAGGCAUUGAUGUGUAUUAUUUUUGUAUUAAACAUAUUGGGGAAUACCCUAGUUAAAAAAGAACACAAAGUUUUUCAAUCUCCAACACUCUUCUAUACGUGUCAGCGCGCUAAGUUAAUUGACUGCUUAUUUUAAGUUAGGUGUUUAUCAGAACUUUUUCCGCGAGAUUGAUUAAGAGCCGUUUUCUCAAUUUCGAACUAAAAUGCCAGUUGGUUGCCUCUCCGAAAAAGUUGACGAACAGAUAAACGUGUCUAAAAAAAACAAUUCGGCUUUCUCGAGGUCGUGGUAAUUUGUGAAAACGAAAAAGAAUAAUGGGUUUAAGCGCACAAAUGUGCUGUACAGCGCAAAACUCAGUAUAACCUUUGCAAGAAAAUGUAGCUAUCGACAAAACGGUACCAGAUUCCCCGGAGAAAAACCAUGGACUCGAGAUUUGGAAAUCUCACUAUCACAGGGUUUCGGUCUAUACAGAAACUUGGUUGGUGAUCGUGAAAUGUGUAAAUGUGUAAAACAUGCCAAAAACAGGUUACAAACAAAAUUUUCAUCGACAAGCAUCGAUUUCCUCAAAAAUAAAAUAGUACCGCCUGAUGCAAAGAUUGAUGUCUUGAAAGAUGACUUGGAUGAAUUUGCUGUGUCUUCAUAAUAUAUGGGAUAUUUAUUUGAAAAGGAAAUUAAAGAGAAAAAUUAUAAUAAUGAAGUUAACGAAAUCAGAGAGAUGUGCAAGGAUUUUAUAAAGGAGCUAAUUAUCCAACUCAGAGAAAGACUUCCAGAUAAUUUUGAGACAUUAGAAAAACUUAGAAAAUUAGAAAACACAAAAACAUUAGAAAGUUUUUGCAGCAGAAAAUGUACUCAAACAUAAUAAAAAUCAUAAUGAUCUCAUUUCCAUAUUGGAACACUUUAACUAUAAGAAUAUAGAUGGAAUUCUUGCCCAAUAUGGCAAAAUUCAAUUAGUCCCUUGGCAAAGUACAGAUGACACGAUACAAUUUUGGUCAGAAGUACUGACUUAUAAAGAUGCUGGCAAAAACAAGCCUUUUGAAGAAAUCGCUUUAUUUGCCAUUGGCAUUUUAAGUCUACCGUGGUCAAAUGCUGCUAUUGAACGUGUAUUCAGUCAAAUGAAUAUUGUUAAGACCAAGCUAAGGAACAAAAUGACCGUUAAAUCCUUAAACUCAAUAUUAAAUAUAAGAUAUGGAUUGCGCCGUCAUGGAAAAUGUUGUCACAACUAUCAAUUACCGGAGAAAUAUUUAAAUUUAAUACGUUCCAGCGAUAAAUAUACCGAUUCAAGCAAUAGCGAAUUGGAUGAAAUAAUAACACAAUUAUAAAUGUAUAUAUCUAUGUGUUGUUUUAUUUUUAGCCUGUUUUUUACAAUUUUUAGCUUGUUCUAGCUUGUAUUUUUGUAAAAUCUAGCUUAUUUUAGCGCUCAAAAUCUGGCAACAAUGGUGAGAGAAUGAGUAAGCGCUUGGCUGGGGUUGCGUAUCACAGGAGACUGGUUACAAAAUUUAGUUUCUAGCUCUUAUAGUCUUUGACAUCUCAUCGGGACGGACAGACAGACAGACUGGCUAUAUCGACUCGUAUGUAUUCAUAUAGAUGCAUGCAUAUUGCCACUCAAAAUAAAUUCGAGUUGAUUAGGAGUUGAUAAUAGUCGUCACAUUGCAUAUAGAUGUAUACUUACACGUCACAAACGUACCCAUUUCCUAAUAAAUGUCACCGAAAAUACAGCAAUAGCUGACGCCACAAAUCAUUGAAGUGUUUCAAUGUACUGUGAUUACAAAUCCCCUUUACAAAAUUUGUAGGCAUUGAUGUGUAUUAUUUUUGUAUUAAACAUAUUGGGGAAUACCCUAGUUAAAAAAGAACACAAAGUUUUUCAAUCUCCAACACUCUUCUAUACGUGUCAGCGCGCUAAGUUAAUUGACUGCUUAUUUUAAGUUAGGUGUUUAUCAGAACUUUUUCCGCGAGAUUGAUUAAGAGCCGUUUUCUCAAUUUCGAACUAAAAUGCCAGUUGGUUGCCUCUCCGAAAAAGUUGACGAACAGAUAAACGUGUCUAAAAAAAACAAUUCGGCUUUCUCGAGGUCGUGGUAAUUUGUGAAAACGAAAAAGAAUAAUGGGUUUAAGCGCACAAAUGUGCUGUACAGCGCAAAACUCAGUAUAACCUUUGCAAGAAAAUGUAGCUAUCGACAAAACGGUACCAGAUUCCCCGGAGAAAAACCAUGGACUCGAGAUUUGGAAAUCUCACUAUCACAGGGUUUCGGUCUAUACAGAAACUUGGUUGGUGAUCGUGAAAUGUGUAAAUGUGUAAAACAUGCCAAAAACAGGUUACAAACAAAAUUUUCAUCGACAAGCAUCGAUUUCCUCAAAAAUAAAAUAGUACCGCCUGAUGCAAAGAUUGAUGUCUUGAAAGAUGACUUGGAUGAAUUUGCUGUGUCUUCAUAAUAUAUGGGAUAUUUAUUUGAAAAGGAAAUUAAAGAGAAAAAUUAUAAUAAUGAAGUUAACGAAAUCAGAGAGAUGUGCAAGGAUUUUAUAAAGGAGCUAAUUAUCCAACUCAGAGAAAGACUUCCAGAUAAUUUUGAGACAUUAGAAAAACUUAGAAAAUUAGAAAACACAAAAACAUUAGAAAGUUUUUGCAGCAGAAAAUGUACUCAAACAUAAUAAAAAUCAUAAUGAUCUCAUUUCCAUAUUGGAACACUUUAACUAUAAGAAUAUAGAUGGAAUUCUUGCCCAAUAUGGCAAAAUUCAAUUAGUCCCUUGGCAAAGUACAGAUGACACGAUACAAUUUUGGUCAGAAGUACUGACUUAUAAAGAUGCUGGCAAAAACAAGCCUUUUGAAGAAAUCGCUUUAUUUGCCAUUGGCAUUUUAAGUCUACCGUGGUCAAAUGCUGCUAUUGAACGUGUAUUCAGUCAAAUGAAUAUUGUUAAGACCAAGCUAAGGAACAAAAUGACCGUUAAAUCCUUAAACUCAAUAUUAAAUAUAAGAUAUGGAUUGCGCCGUCAUGGAAAAUGUUGUCACAACUAUCAAUUACCGGAGAAAUAUUUAAAUUUAAUACGUUCCAGCGAUAAAUAUACCGAUUCAAGCAAUAGCGAAUUGGAUGAAAUAAUAACACAAUUAUAAAUGUAUAUAUCUAUGUGUUGUUUUAUUUUUAGCCUGUUUUUUACAAUUUUUAGCUUGUUCUAGCUUGUAUUUUUGUAAAAUCUAGCUUAUUUUAGCGCUCAAAAUCUGGCAACACUGGUGAGAGAAUGAGUAAGCGCUUGGCUGGGGUUGCGUAUCACAGGAGACUGGUUACAAAAUUUAGUUUCUAGCUCUUAUAGUCUUUGACAUCUCAUCGGGACGGACAGACAGACAGACUGGCUAUAUCGACUCGUAUGUAUUCAUAUAGAUGCAUGCAUAUUGCCACUCAAAAUAAAUUCGAGUUGAUUAGGAGUUGAUAAUAGUCGUCACAUUGCAUAUAGAUGUUUACUUACACGUCACAAACGUACCCAUUUCCUAAUAAAUGUCACCGAAAAUACAGCAAUAGCUGACGCCACAAAUCAUUGAAGUGUUUCAAUGUACUGUGAUUACAAAUCCCCUUUACAAAAUUUGUAGGCAUUGAUGUGUAUUAUUUUUGUAUUAAACAUAUUGGGGAAUACCCUAGUUAAAAAAGAACACAAAGUUUUUCAAUCUCCAACACUCUUCUAUACGUGUCAGCGCGCUAAGUUAAUUGACUGCUUAUUUUAAGUUAGGUGUUUAUCAGAACUUUUUCCGCGAGAUUGAUUAAGAGCCGUUUUCUCAAUUUCGAACUAAAAUGCCAGUUGGUUGCCUCUCCGAAAAAGUUGACGAACAGAUAAACGUGUCUAAAAAAAACAAUUCGGCUUUCUCGAGGUCGUGGUAAUUUGUGAAAACGAAAAAGAAUAAUGGGUUUAAGCGCACAAAUGUGCUGUACAGCGCAAAACUCAGUAUAACCUUUGCAAGAAAAUGUAGCUAUCGACAAAACGGUACCAGA